rnacentral:rRNA from 1 species
AUGCAAGUCGAGCGGACAGAUGGGAGCUUGCUCCCUGAUGUCAGCGGCGGACGGGUGAGUAACACGUGGGUAACCUGCCUGUAAGACUGGGAUAACUCCGGGAAACCGGGGCUAAUACCGGAUGCUUGAUUGAACCGCAUGGUUCAAUUAUAAAAGGUGGCUUUUAGCUACCACUUACAGAUGGACCCGCGGCGCAUUAGCUAGUUGGUGAGGUAACGGCUCACCAAGGCAACGAUGCGUAGCCGACCUGAGAGGGUGAUCGGCCACACUGGGACUGAGACACGGCCCAGACUCCUACGGGAGGCAGCAGUAGGGAAUCUUCCGCAAUGGACGAAAGUCUGACGGAGCAACGCCGCGUGAGUGAUGAAGGUUUUCGGAUCGUAAAACUCUGUUGUUAGGGAAGAACAAGUACCGUUCGAAUAGGGCGGUACCUUGACGGUACCUAACCAGAAAGCCACGGCUAACUACGUGCCAGCAGCCGCGGUAAUACGUAGGUGGCAAGCGUUGUCCGGAAUUAUUGGGCGUAAAGCGCGCGCAGGCGGUUUCUUAAGUCUGAUGUGAAAGCCCCCGGCUCAACCGGGGAGGGUCAUUGGAAACUGGGGAACUUGAGUGCAGAAGAGGAGAGUGGAAUUCCACGUGUAG